rnacentral:rRNA from 1 species
UGAGUGGCGCACGGGUGAGUAACACGUGAGUGAUCUGCCUCCAAGCUUGGGAUAACCUGCCGAAAGGCGGGCUAAUACCGGAUGAGACCACAGCACCUUCGGGUGUCGGGGUUAAAGGCGGCACAAGCUGCCACUUGGAGAUGAGCUCGCGGCCCAUCAGCUAGUUGGUAGGGUAACGGCCUACCAAGGCGAUAACGGGUAGCUGGUCUGAGAGGACGGGCAGUCACACUGGAACUGAGACACGGUCCAGACUCCUACGGGAGGCAGCAGUGGGGAAUAUUGCGCAAUGGGGGAAACCCUGACGCAGCAACGCCACGUGGGUGAUGAAGGCCUUCGGGUCGUAAAGCCCUGUCAGCAGGGAAGAAACUGCCGGGAUUCGAAUAGGGUCUCUGGAUUGACAGUACCUGCGGAGAAGCACCGGCA